UGCAGUAGUAUGACUAGUACUUAGAUCUGCGAUGCCUCAGCUAAUCACGGUGAGGUUGCUGUAGUUUGACGAGCACAUAAACAUGGGCCCUAAGGAUUCUUGUGGUGCAGAUUGGCUACAGUAGGUUUACUAUCGGAUUAGGGUUGCAUCAAGAUGGGAUCUAUCGACCUUGAUAGAUUAGGAAUGAUCCUAUGUGAUUUAUGAGACUAAGUUUGAAAGACCUUGGCCAGGGCAGUUUAAGAAAAAGAGUUUUCCAAUUUCGAACUUGAGUCAAAUAAAUUUGACAUAAGACAGACGAUAGGGUUUGACGAGUUAUCCAUAACCUCCGACAUGUCGGGAUCCAUGAUAGAGGUACUGUAUCAUACGCUAACUGCAUCUAGAGGUUCAUCCAUUCUGUUCUGCUGGGUUGUCACUAUAUGCUGCUAGGUGUCAUUAGUGGAUUGUGAGACUCGAAGGCAUGCACUUGGUGAUCAGUGAAUUCUAAGAGUAGAGUUGAAAUCAUUUCAACCCAUUGAAAGGAGUUUCGAUGAUAUUAUGAUAGAGAUCAUAAUAUAUCUCACUAUCAGUCAGAAUAGAGCCUACGGGGUCACACACAUUAGAGGUUUUGAUCGUUUCGAUGGUUGGAGAGCGAUUUAGGAUCGCAAUUGAUCUUGAUUUUCAAUUUAAUUAACAAUUAGAGUUAGUGAAUCAAAGAAGAAGGAUUUGCAAUUGGAUUGCAAUUUAAUUGGACCUAAUUAAAUUAGGCUUAACCUUAUUGGAUAAGGAUGGGAAGGCCUAAUUAAUUAGAACUCUUUAUUAGAUAAGGAACUUAAUUCAUGAAGUCCAAUUUGGAUCCUAAUUGGAUUAGGAUUCACAUAAAUCAAUUUGGAGGACACAUUGGGUUCUAAUUGGAUUAGAAUUCAAUUGAUCAAGUGGGACCAUGUAAUUUCUAAUUGGAUUAGGAGACUCA
rnacentral:lncRNA from 1 species